UACGAAGGGGGCUAGCGUUGCUCGGAAUUACUGGGCAUAAAGCGCACGUAGGCGGAUUUGUAAGUCAGGGGUGAAAUCCCGGGGCUCAACCUCGGAACUGCCUUUGAUACUGCAAGUCUUGAGUCCGGAAGAGGUGAGUGGAAUUCCUAGUGUAGAGGUGAAAUUCGUAGAUAUUAGGAAGAACACCAGUGGCGAAGGCGGCUCACUGGUCCGGUACUGACGCUGAGGUGCGAAAGCGUGGGGAGCAAACAGG
rnacentral:rRNA from 1 species